CCACGCAUGGUCCCCAUCUAUUGAAUUCGUUCAUUCAACAUUAGGACGACUAUACCGUAGUGAAUCAUGAUCGUUCGCCAUUCCAUCGACCCUGUAGAGGCCCCUCUACCGAACCCAAAUCUCCGGGGCAAGCAGCUGGUCGCCCCGGAGGAUGGCACGAACCACACCGCCUACGAUGUCUUUCUCCAGCCGGGUGAUAGUGUAUGUUUGACAUCGCCCCCCUCCCCCCUCCUGAACCACGUGUACUACAUGUGUGUCGGGGAGUGCAGCAGGCACAGCAUCCAACGGCCAAGUGUACGAGUUUGCUGCUGAUGUGGUAGUGGCGUUUUCAUCCAGUAUCAGUUGUACGGUUCAGGUCACAUCUGGUGAAAAGCUCCGCCUCUUCUGCAUCUAUUGUGAUGACGUCGAGCCGACUGUUGAUCGGGCCGUGACUCGGUCGCUUUCGGAGAUUGUCGGUACCGAUCGUGACAUCGACUGGGGCCGAGGCCACAGCCGAAGGUUUCUGAAGAAGUCGGACGGGUUCCCGAUCAGUGUUCACAACACCUAUGUGGAAGCUGGUACAAACAGUGCUCUGUGCUACAAACAUCACCUUGAAUCUGCCUACUACGUGAAAGGCAGAGCCACUUACACGUGGGAAGAGGGUGUCCAGAAGGCGGAGACGCGUAUAGAUGCUACUAACGGAACCGUGUACAGUAUGAACGAGCAUGACGCACACCACGCGAUCGCGCACGAGGACGCCGUGGCCCUGUGUGUGUUCCACCCAGUCUUGGUUGGCAACGAGAACCACGAUUUCAGCGGAGAGUACUCUGGGUACAAGCCUUCCAAAUGAUGUUCGUUAGAUCAACCUACUUGGUUAGAUUAAAAGUUGUUUCACUUGAAGAAGAAAAGGGGUGGCGGUUUCGCUUGAAACUUUUGAUAUCCCCUUCUUUCAAGAUGAAAUAACUGAACUAUUGAA